GAAAUUUAGGAUAAUCAAACCAAAGGCCUUCAAAGCCUUAAACAGGAGUUAAACUCUUCUAAUUUCUGU
rnacentral:tRNA from 1 species